CUUCCUUCACCCAGCCAUAGGUCACAUAAGGACCUGCCUUCCUUGGCCCACAUCUCCCCAUCUGGACCACACAUGACAGACGCGGCUCUUUUGCGCCUGCCCCAGCUUAAACUGAGAACCUGCCCGAAAUCCAGCCCAGAGCUCCCAGGAAGAAGACAGACACACAAGUGGCUGAGAUCACCAAGAACACUGCCUUCCCCCGGAGCAGAGUUUGGGGAGGGCCUGCGGUCUGGGUAGGCAGCUCAUUGAUCCACUCCUCUGAGAAUUAUUCUGUACUCAUCACAAACCAAAUGAGGCUGGCCCCAACCCAGGCAGGCAGGCAGGCAGGCGGGAAGGCGGCUCUGUGUGUGGAGAGGAGAAAAGGAACCUGCCCGUUGUCAUUGGAGAAAAAGAGGAAGCGAAUGGUGUGUUCUACCCCUGCACGCUUAGCAGGGACAAGGCGCCGCUUGAAUAUUCUGCUGAAUGUGGUAUUUCUUUUAACCCUUACAGAGAUUUUCAAACCACAGAAUAAGGCUUUCCUGUCAAGCAACUGGUAAAGUCCCCCCAACCCUACACCGAGAGGAGGCCACAGCUCUGAAGUGGCUCCUGCCACCAGGCCUGGGUGACACAGCCCUGUACACCAGGCUGAACGGACACAAUGGCACCCGUGCGUAGCUCCAUCGCGAAGGCAAAGGGGCUAGUGGGGGGGGGGGUGUUUGGGGAGGAAUGUGUCCUGGUGCCCGACUUGUUCCAUACACUGCUUUGCAAACUAUUUCACCUAUAUAUACGUCCCCUCCAUCUAUUGAGACUCAAAGCCAAGAGCAGACUUCCUAAAGUGGACAUCCAUCUGAGACCGAAUCCUCGACCCUGCAGAGACGCUAAGAGUGGUAGACCUGAGCAGCCCCAGACCGACGUGUCGCCAGCCACCCCAGCCCACACAGUCCUGUAGGCCACCCCGCCUUGCAGUUGCUCUCGCCUGGCUUUGUUGCGGGGUUGUUAUCUAUCCCUUUCUAUUUCAACUGCUUCUGCACGUGUCUCCCGAUGAGUCAACCUCAGGCCCACGCUGGGGCGCUGACCACACUCCAUGCCAGUCUAAACCCUGCACAAUCCAAAAGUCACACCACACACACACACACACACACACACACACACACACACACACACACACACACACACACACACGAAGACCGGCAGCCUGGCAGGGCAGCAGGAAGCCGAGGGCAAACAAAAAGCCACCUUGGGGAAAGCGAGAGAAAGCUUUCUACAUACAUUAGUCCCUGCUCCUCUCGUCACCAUAACCACAGGUACCGGGCAGUGGCGGUAGUCUUUGCCAUGGCUAAGACAUCUUCGCUGCUGUGACCCGGUGGGGCGUGGGGGUAUGCCCGCUUCUCUUGGAAAGGAGCAGUGCUUUCUGGAAGGGUCAGGGACACUGGACCAAUAUUGGUAUGGAGUUUCAACUGAGCGGGUCAGUUCACCUGGAACCCGCUACCCGGCGGAGUCAGCCUGGCAAGCGACCUCUCAGAUGGAAACGCAGCAGGGGAAACCGGGAGCUGCGACCCUUCCACCCCGUGUGUCCAGGUGGAGUCCGCCUGGCAAGCGACCUCCAUCCAUCGGAGAGUGGAGCAGAAGUGACGGAACCUCACCCCCGAGUUGCUCCCUUCCAGCUAACUAACUCUGCUCCCCUGCCGAGAUGCCCCCCCAGGAGGUGGCGGGCACCGCAGCUCAGCUGGGAAGAUUGGGGGCGGGGAAGGGGGCGGGAGGCGGGGAGGCGAGCAGGGAUUUCCCACAGGGAUUCGCGAGCGCCUUGAGUGCCUGAGCUCCCGGGUGCGCCCCGCAAGGGGUCCGCUGAGCGGGUUUGGCUGGACACCAGCCGGAGGCACAACCACGCUGAGCCAGCAGGGAUGGUGUCGCUGCUAGUGGGCUCGCAACCACGCAGUCUCUUCUCCUGGAGAUGAGUUUAGGCAGGAUCGGCACUCACCCCAGCCCACCCCUGCUCCAAAGCUCAGAAGGCGAGAAAUGUGUCCAUCUCGCUCUUGCUGCCUCUGGAAGAUUGUAGCCCCGCAGGUUCUCAGACUGAUCCCCCUAGGGUGCGGUCAAUGGACUUGGCCCCCCCUUGCUUGCCAGCCACUUGCAGGGUACCGGCUCAAAGCUUCUCUGAUCCCCCGCGCGCAGCUCUAGCCUGCCGAGCCCAGAGUCCCGAGCAUCAGACUGCGAGCGAGCUGGGAAAGGGAGGCGGCGCGCCACCGCUCGCCAGCGCAUCCAGGCCCGGCAAUGAAAGAGCCCAAGGUGCCCACUCUAGGAGCCCCGUGGCCCGAGGUAUCCCUUCCCAGACCAGCUUCUCCCGGAGCUAAGGAGCUUGCACCGCAGUGCAGCGGGCUCCGAGCUCUCCGAGUCGGAGAUGUCCGGGGAUCGUGGUGUCUGGGAGCACCGGGGCGCGGAGCAUGGAGACUCUGCGAACCAGCGGCGGGUGCCCAGGGUCGGCCGGGGGCAUACCUGUGGGUACCGCCCUAGCCCGGUGCCCCGUCUCCUCCCAGGCUCUGGGACAUCCUUGCCCUCAGGCACCAGGAUGCCUGACUACGCCGAGCAACCAAAGGAGCCCCGAGAAGCGUGCGACACCCGGGAACUGGCAGCUGGCAGCCACCAAGUUGCGCCACGAAGGUUGACUGAGGAAUUCAUUGCCAAGAUCAUCACUGCCAAGGAGUUGUUUUUUACCCUGUUUUCUUUAGAGUUCCAGGUCUACAUUUGGGAUGGUUGGUUGUUAUUGAUGUGAAGAAAGACCAGUUGUGUUGAUUUUGUGUCCUCUUAAACUGAAAUAAAAUGUCUCAAAUCAAAAAAGAAUAUAUAUAUUCUUAAAAUUCUAAUUACUGAAACCUAACUCUGUGUGUUCAGAUUUUUUGAAAUCAAGACCAGAGAGCAAAGGAAGGGGGUGUUGACCAAGCAACCUGAGGUCCCUGCUACACUCAGGGAGGACUCAGAAAUGUUUCCAUUUGAGCAUCUGGCAAACACUGUAAUUGCUUUAAAAGGUAAAUAUUGUUUAAAAUUUAAACGUGGUUUUCAAAAGGUUUCUACAAAUAUACCGUAAAGAGGUAGAGAAACACUUUUGAAAAUAUUGGAGACAAUAAAAGCAAAAUGUCACCCUUUUGUUAAAAGGAGAAUUGGGAAAAAAGCAUAAAUAAACCAAGAGAAAGUUUCCAUUUGAGCAAUAAAAUUUUAUAAGAAAUUCAGAAAUACUUCCAAUAACAAAUGUGAAUGAAUCGAAUCUUGACUAAAAGAUAUGCAGAAAUGACAGGCUUCCAGCAGCAAAAUGUAAAUGCAGAAAGAAAAUAAAAUUAUAUAUAUAUAUAUAUAUAUAUAUAUAUAUAUAUAUAAUUUUAUGCUUUAAUAUGUAUGCCCUAAAAUCCUAGAUCUGUCUGAAUUUUGAUUUCCAACUAAGAGUAAAAAGAAGACUUUUCAAACAAGACUGAAGAAAUGUACCACCAAGUUACUGUCUGGAAGAGGUCCAGCAAGUCAACUAUUCAAGGAAUGAGAAAACAAAUGACGGGCUGGAGAGAUGGCUCAGCAGUUAAGAGCUCUGGCUGCUCUUCCAGAGGACCCCAGUUCUGUUCCCAGCACUCACAUGGCAGCUCACAACAUCCAUAACUCCCAGGGGAUCCAACACCCUCUUCUGUCCUCUGUGGGCACUGCAUGCACAUGGUACACACACACACACGCACACGCACACGCACACACACACAUAUGCAGGAAAACAUCCACAUAUAAAUCAUAAGUCAUGUUUUUUAAAAAAAUAAAGUAAAUGAAGAAUAACAAAGUCAGAGGAGAGAGAAACUUGAGUAAAGGAACUGUUGAGUGGAUAAAGGAUUGGGAUUGGCAACAGUAAGAUGUCACUAAAAUGCAGAAGAAAAAUAGAGCAGUUUGAUAUGAGAGUUAAAGAGCCAGAAUUUUGUACACAGUAGAACCAUUCUGAGAUGAUGCAGAAAUAUUGAAUACUUUUAUAUGUUAUAAACCAGCCAUGCCUGAAGUAUUAAUGGUGUCCACUUCCAAAUAAACAGUGGGAGCAAAGAGGGAUAAUGAAAGUUAAUCAAUACUGUGGAAAGGAGGAAAGUGGGGGUUGGGUAAUGUAGACAUAAAACAUGAGAGAAGAUAAUGGAAUUAAGUCCAAACACACUAGCGAUGAGAACAAAUACUGUGUGGUAAGCUCAUCAUUCUAAAGGACGAACAUCAGAUGGACUACAAAGAAAUCCAUUAUCUACCGUUUAAAAGAAAACAUAUCUAAAGCCAUAAUGACUCACAUGUAUUCAAAGUAAAUGGAUAAGAGAAAAAUACAAUAGGCAAAUAUUAUUUUUAAAAAGCUGGCACCACUGGAUUAAUACCAAACAGAAUAAAUAUUAUGGAAAAGGCAUCAUGAAUAAUGAAGAAGGUCACUACAUAAUAAUAAAGAGCUAAUUGUUUGAGAAAGACACACGAAUCUGAAUUUCUGUGUAGCUAAGGUAUAGCCUAAAAACGGGCAGAUUUUCAAGGAGGAGCUGAUAGAUCUGUCAAUAGAGAGAGUAAUUUUACCAGGCCUCCUCUUGUUAUUGAUACAUUGUGAAGACUGACUGCUUAUGAGGCCACAAAUUGCAAUAAAGACCAAAUGGCUUGCCACCUGGUGAGUGUCGCUUGACCUCAAAGCCAUCCAAUUAAAAAUCAAUAACAGAAGAAACUGGAGAGGAGUUAUGAUGGGAACAGGAAGGAUAUAGAAGGCGACGACGACAGAAACAUUUCAUACCAUGCACUGGAACAUCUGGAAAACCAACCGGAAGGCUCAAAGCAGCUCACUGGGAGCUCAGAAAAGGCAAGAGGGCUGCAAUUAACUGUGUGGAAAUAAGCAACAGGAGGAUAAAUACACACAAUUACAGGAAUAGGGAAUGAAUUAUUAACAAGAUCCUCAUAUUUCAAAGUUCACGCUAAGGAAGAGAAGCUAUUUUUUUUUUUAAGUCUUCCAAGCUGGACACUGCUGUGUACUACUCUGUGGCUUCAAUCCCAGCACUCAGGAUAGAGAAUAGAAGAUUUGGGGUCCCAGGCCAUGCUGGGCUACAUGGCAAAACUCUGUUUCUCACUGUCAACCCCUUUUAUUUUAUUUUAUCUUAUUUUAUUUUUGAGAUAAGACUUUUCUAAUAAGAUUGAGCUAGUUUGCCAGAAAUAGGGUAUGUAAUAAGACACAACAAAAAUCAAUAUUAGGGAUGAAAGGGGCAUAUGCAUGCAAAGUAAACUUUGAAAUACUAUGCCACUUGAAUGAAAUAGUAAUGUUUCUUGAGAAGAAAAUACAGUGUAUAAAAUCUGAUUCACACCAAAAAAAAAAUGAAAAUAGUUGAGUAGAGUGAUUACCAUGAAAGGAUUUGAAUCAGCAAUUUAAAUCUACUAGGCUCCAAAAAAGGAAACAACAUUAAGUCUAAACGUUUUGCUAGUGAAUUCUACUACAAACAUUGAACAGUGUGACUCCCAAACCUUGUCAGGAGGUGGAGAUACAGUGCCGUUGGGCUUGUCCCAGGACAGAAAGAAUGGUCCAAUUUUAGAGAAAUAUAUUCACUUCACUGACUGACUAAAAGACAAAACACAUAUGGUCAUCUCAAGAGCCUGAGACCAAACUUUGAUAAAAAUGCAGAAUGAACUUUAAAAAUAUUGAAUAAAAGAGCUGGGAAUAUAACUCAGAAGUAGGGCACUUGCCUAGUGUGUAUGAGAGACUGAGUUCAAUUCAUAGCAUCUCAAUAAAUGAGUGGAGAAGAACAGAAACUUUAUUGGGAUAGAACACAUACAAAACUCCAGAUCGAAUGUCCUGUUAUCCAAGGAAUCCUCAGUGUCCCCUCUAUGGGUAGGAAAGAAUGAUGCUUCCUCUCCUGACCACUACUCAGCACUCUACUGCAGGCGUCUGCUAGCCAUUUGACCAUAUGGAAAAGCAAUGGAUGAUGUAGGGGAGGGAAGAUGUCCACCUUGGGUGACAGUUAGUUGAUACAUCGAAAACUCACGUGGCUGGACAGAUAAAUCAUCAGACCACACAAGGCAUCGCCAAAGCUGCUGGUUACAAAGUUAAUAUAUUUUUAAAAACAGCUUUUUUUCAGCAUCAAAAUCAAGUCAUUUUAACAAUAUAGCAUUUUAGUAUCAAUUUGUAAAGCUCAGACAUUUCUUGACAUGAAUCUAAAGCAUAUUUAGAAGAACACUUUCUUUAGAAAGCUUCAGGAAGCCUACGUGGACACAUUGUAAAAGCUUUAUUAAUAUAUUUAGAAGAACCAAGGAGCCAAACUAGGCUCAAAAGGAGAGAACUUGUAGCCACUUUCCCCAACAUUAGCUGGAAAUUUAGCUCAAGUGUAGAAUAUACCCAUUGUAUUUUUUGAGGAAUUUGGCAAUUUAAUCAUAAACUUCAAAGGCAAAAGAUAGGACUAAGCAGAACAAACUGGAAUAAACCAGAGUGGGAGGCUUCUGCCAGGUUUUGAAACUUACAAUGCCCAUAAUUAAAAAAAUACAGAAUUCACAUGGUGAUUUAGCACCAAUGCAUAUAUAGAAAACUCACCCUCCAGGGAAGCGUAAUAAAUAUCAAGGCUAGAUAAGCCACCAAUAAAUGUUGCUGAGAGCAUUUAGAAACUGUGAUUGAGUUUCUGUCCCACACCAAAUGUAAUCAACUUCAGGCAUAUUGAAAACAAAUGUUUAAAUGUGAAAUGUUAAAAUAUUUUUGAAGAAAAUAUUCUAGAAUACUUAAUGAGGCAAGGAUAAUGAGGGAGAUUUCCUAAAGGUACCGAAAAUAGAGACUGAAGGAAAGUACAGCUGUGCUUAGCCAGAAAAAGGGAAAGUGGUUGAAAAACAGCAGAAACAGUCAAGUCUCACAGUGGGAGAAAAGAUUUAGACCCUACUUUUAAAAAAAAGAAGGUACUAUCAUCCACAAUAUAUAAAGAAUUUCUAUGAACCAAUAAGAAAUAUCUGUUUAAAACCAUCCAAGCGUUCACUUGGCAGUUCACUCACUAAAAUUUGAACCAUGUAGAGAUUAGAAUGGUUCCCAUGCUAAGAUGUCAUGCAAAUUUGUGGCACCUUCCAUAUUUUUAAGCCACAUCCAAAAGAACAAAUAUUGUAUGAUUCCACAGAUAAGAAAUAUUUCAAGUUGGCAAACUCAUAGACACUGUGAACAGAUGAGAGCUUGCCAGGGACUUGCAGUGCAGGGGGUGGGGGGAGGGUGAUGAUCGGGGGAUGAUCAGGAGGUACAGCUUAGUGAACAAACAGUGUCUAUGCAGGGUGACAAAAGAGUUUCGGAAAUAGAUGGUGGUGAUGCCUGCACAACACUGUGCAUGUAAUUAAUGGUGCUGAAUUUUACACUUAGAAAGAUUUCAAUUCAAAUUCUGUAUGAUGAUAAUGUGUGACCACAAUAAAAGAAGAUAUUAAAAAGGGGAGCAAGAAAUUCAGACAGACACUUCAGAUAAAAUACAAAUGCCCUAACAAUAUCUGCAGAGAUGUCUAGAUGAAAACAACACCACAAUGAUACUUCUCACCUACUGCCAGGCAGAAAUCAUCAAGUAGGAAUAAGGAGAACUGGUAGGACAUGCAGCAAUGGGAGCUGUCACGAGGUGCCCGUGGGAGUGUUAGUCAGUUCAAAUGCUUUGGAAAGGAGGAGGCCAUCACUCCCCGGAGCUUUGGAAACGCGUGCUUCCCAUUGCCUUAAUUACAGUGAGGUGCUGGCUGGAAGAAGAACAAGACGUGGCUUCGAGGGAAAAAAGUUUCUUUUUCUCACACAUCUCACUUCUGACUCUCACAGUCUGGGCUACUUGGGUAACUCUGAUUCUCCCAGCUUUGGGGGGGAUGCAGUUCUUUCCUAGGCUUUUUUCUGCAAAGUUGAAGGUGGACCACUGAGCACCAUUGGGUUUUGACUAAUGAGGAGGGAGCGUGGAGGAAGCACACUGUCUGUCAUGGGCUCUGAUUGAGCAGCAGCAGAAUGGGAAGCUGUUAAAGGUCCUCAGCAGAAAGGGAGCCUAGGAAACGUGGGAAGAAGCAGGAAGACAUUCUGAUGGAGAACUAGGAGUCUGUUGUACCCUGAUGACAUUUUGAUUGAUACCUGGAGCUCUCAGCUGUAUCCUAAGCCUCAGCAAUCUCAUGACUACAUGUACCUUGCAACUCUCCUGUGCAUGGCCACCAGGAGACAUAUACAAGAAAGAUAAUAGGCACACCGUGGCAUUAUGCAAAAGAAAGAAACCACCCAAAUGCUCAUCACUGUGGUGAUAAUAAAAUAAAAUCAUGAAAAAAAAAUGAAGGAAUAAAAAUAAAAAUCAAGAAAAAUAAAUCAUGGCAUACUCAUUUACUGGAGUGAAAAUGAACAGACUACUGGGACACAACUGGGAAAGGCCACAGACAAUGCUCCUAAGAGAAUAUUAAUAUGCAACUCAGUACUAGGUACUGGGGUAUUGUUUAAUAAUUUGUAUUCAAAUGAUGUGUAUAGAUGCAUAUAAUAUUCACUAUUUUGCAUAUAUUUACAAUAAUAAUUUAUUAUGUUUACCUCUCCAAAAUAAAAUAAAUCUAAUUUUCACUCAAUAGUCUGAUAAGAGCAAAUGUUCGUUAAUAUUCGAUGUA